rnacentral:rRNA from 1 species
AACGAACGCUGGCGGCAUGCCUAACACAUGCAAGUCGAACGAGAAGGUGCUUUCGGGUACUGGACAGUGGCGCACGGGUGAGUAACGCGUGGGAACCUGCCCUGAGGUACGGGAUAACGGCUGGAAACGGCCGCUAAUACCGUAUGUCCCCUGCGGGGGAAAGAUUUAUCGCCUUGGGAGGGGCCCGCGUCCGAUUAGCUAGUUGGUGAGGUAAUGGCUCACCAAGGCUUCGAUCGGUAGCUGGUCUGAGAGGAUGAUCAGCCACACUGGGACUGAGACACGGCCCAGACUCCUACGGGAGGCAGCAGUGGGGAAUAUUGGACAAUGGGGGCAACCCUGAUCCAGCAAUGCCGCGUGUGUGAUGAAGGCCUUAGGGUUGUAAAGCACUUUCACUGGUGAAGAUGAUGACGGUAGCCAGAGAAGAAGCCCCGGCUAACUCCG